UACGUAGGGGGCAAGCGUUGUCCGGAAUCAUUGGGCGUAAAGCGCGCGUAGGUGGCCCGGUAAGUCCGCUCUGAAAGUCAAAGGCUCAACCUUUGAAAGCGGGUGGAUACUGUCGGGCUAGAGUCCGGAAGAGGCGAGUGGAAUUCCUGGUGUAGCGGUGAAAUGCGUAGAUAUCGUAAGGAAGACCAGUGGCGAAGGCGAGUUUCUGGACAGUUACCGACGCUGAGGCACGAAGGCCAGGGGAGCAAACGGG
rnacentral:rRNA from 1 species